rnacentral:rRNA from 1 species
CUACGGGUUGCUGCAGUGAGGAAUAUUGCACAAUGGGGGGAACCCUGAUGCAGCAACGCCGCGUGGAGGAUGACGCAUUUCGGUGUGUAAACUCCUUUUAUAUGUCAAGAAAAUGACGGUAGCAUAUGAAUAAGCACCGGCUAACUCCGUGCCAGCAGCCGCGGUAAUACGGAGGGUGCAAGCGUUACUCGGAAUCACUGGGCGUAAAGGACGCGUAGGCGGGGUGGAAAGUCAGAUGUGAAAUCCUACAGCUUAACUGUAGAACUGCACUUGAAACUUCUAAUCUAGAGUAUGGGAGGGGGAGAUGGAAUUAGUGGUGUAGGGGUAAAAUCCGUAGAUAUCACUAGGAAUACCUAAAGCGAAGGCGAUCUCCUGGAACAUUACUGACGCUAAGGCGUGAAAGCGUGGGGAGCAAACAGGAUUAGAUACCCUAGUAGUC